rnacentral:rRNA from 1 species
GAAAGGCCAAUCAAACUCGGAGAUAGCUGGUUCUCCCCGAAAGCUAUUUAGGUAGCGCCUCGGACGAAUACUACUGGGGGUAGAGCACUGUUAAGGCUAGGGGGUCAUCCCGACUUACCAACCCUUUGCAAACUCCGAAUACCAGUAAGUACUAUCCGGGAGACACACGGCGGGUGCUAACGUCCGUCGUGAAGAGGGAAACAACCCAGACCGCCAGCUAAGGUCCCAAAGUUAUAGCUAAGUGGGAAACGAUGUGGGAAGGCUCAGACAGCCAGGAUGUUGGCUUAGAAGCAGCCAUCAUUUAAAGAAAGCGUAAUAGCUCACUGGUCGAGUCGGCCUGCGCGGAAGAUUUAACGGGGCUAAGCUAUACACCGAAGCUGCGGCAAUGAAGUUUUACUUCAUUGGGUAGGGGAGCGUUCUGUAAGCCGUUGAAGGUGAAUCGUAAGGUUUGCUGGAGGUAUCAGAAGUGCGAAUGCUGACAUGAGUAACGAUAAAGGGAGUGAAAAACUCCCUCGCCGGAAGAUCAAGGGUUCCUGUCCAACGUUAAUCGGGGCAGGGUAAGUCGACCCCUAAGGCGAGGCCGAAAGGCGUAGUCGAUGGGAAACGGGUUAAUAUUCCCGUACUUCUUAUAAUUGCGAUGGAGGGACGGAGAAGGCUAGGUGAGCCUGGCGACGGUUGUCCAGGUCCAAGUAUGUAGGCUGAUGGUUUAGGCAAAUCCGGACCAUCUUAAGGCUGAGAUACGAUGUCGAGU